rnacentral:misc_RNA from 1 species
UCCGGCUUAUCACCGGCAGUUUCCUUAGAGUGCCCAGCCGAACUGAUGGCAACUAAGGACGAGGGUUGCGCUCGUUGCGGGACUUAACCCAACAUCUCACGACACGAGCUGACGACAGCCAUGCAGCACCUGUGCACGGUCCAGCCAAACUGAAGGGCUCCUUCUCUGGAGCCCGCGACCGGCAUGUCAAGGCCUGGUAAGGUUCUUCGCGUUGCCUCGAAUUAAACCACAUGCUCCACCGCUUGUGCGGGUCCCCGUCAAUUCCUUUGAGUUUUAACCUUGCGGCCGUACUCCCCAGGCGGAAUGCUUAAAGCGUUAGCGGCGCCACUGAGACCUGAGGUCCCAACGGCUAGCAUUCAUCGUUUACGGCGUGGACUAC